rnacentral:lncRNA from 1 species
UAUAUAGUUAGGUUGCACGCAAAAGUCGCGCACCUAUGACCUACAUCCCGGUACAUCGCUUAGCUCAGUGUGCACUGUAGAAGCUAAAAUCAGUCCAGAGUACAAAGUGCGUAGCAAAUCGUACGUCGUAACAUUGAUGGCGGGCAAAGGCCAAGAGUCACGAAUGUGUGGCGGCAGCUGGUGGAUGAAAGCAUGUUAUUGUCUCUCUCGUGUGGAUUCACCGAUGAAGCGUAGAACAGGCACCUACAGUAGUUAGCCGAAACUGGCAAAAAGCGAAGGACAGGGGUUGGAAUAUACAGAAAACUAGGCUCUCAUCAAACAUUGCAUUUCGAAAACAGUCUGUGAAAUGAGUAGCCGUACAAGUAUAAUUUGCUGGGCUUGGUGUCUCCUUUUUUGGCCUUGUCAUCCCGAAAUAGUACAUUACGUGACAAGUGCGGGAAGUAGGUGAUACCUGCAUGCACGAGUUAUGCAUUACAAGUGUGCAUCGAAACGGAGUACCGGCUGGAUCAUAAUAAACGGAUUUUCAACACAUAUCGAUCUUCGUCCAUACACCUCCUGACUCUCGGCCUCCCUUCAUCUGAACAUUCAAACAUUCUUCCCAGACUUUCGACACUAAAAGCGUCGACUAAAUCAGAAUUGGUGUGACAUGCGCAUAGGAUGCUAGUUUUUCAAAUAUGAACGAUCGAACUCGGAAUCAAAGACCAGCAUCGAUGGACUAUUCACUUGUGGAAUUGCUUAAAAAUCACUAGAAAUCACUGGAAUUCAAGAUGUACUUUAGUAUUAAAUAUCAGUUGGAAAUCGGCAAUAUACCGAACAUUUUGAAACUUUUUAGGAACCACUUGAAGUCUAGUAGAAUUCAAUUUAUCCUUCAAUAUUGGAAAUCAUCGGUAAAUCACUCGCGAAUCAUUGAUGAUUUUAAUGCGCGUGGUUCCUUCGACCAUCGUCGUGAAAUUUGUCCACAGAUUUCUUCCUAUAACUUUAAGAUGCAUCAAAAGUACUUUUAUAACAUCCUGUUAGGAAAAUUUAAAACUCUUAUACAUUCAGUAUUUGAAGUCGAGUCUUUCGGCAAAAUUAUCAUGAUACAAUUUUAACAGCAAAGUUUCAUGUGUGUUGAUCAUUUUCAUGUGAUUAAAUAUUGGUCACGUUGAAGUAAAAGUUCACAAGAUGAAUGAUAAUUCUUACAUGUUUACUCUUGAUGUUAUACAGCUUUCAACAAUCAAGUCUUAUCCUUUGUGACGUUUGUUGAUCAAAUUUUUUAUUUCACAGUGCCUGAUUUAGAAACAAGAUGUACCUGGAGUUUUGAUCGAUAAACUUUAAUCAAAAAUUUAAUUUGGUGUUGACAUCGAAAUUUUAUGAUGAAUAUUCGAAUAAUUGUGGAAAUUUAGCUAGCUUAAAACUCUACAAACAAGCUCGAUCAAAACUUCAAAUAUAUGAAGCGAGAUACGUUGCACAGAGUAAUAAACUUAACUCUUAGCUUCCACAUCUCCCUGCAAUCACACUGCUGCUAGAUUAGGGUGACACUGACCCUAAACUUAUCCAAC